UACGUAGGGGGCAAGCGUUGUCCGGAUUUAUUGGGCGUAAAGAGCUCGUAGGUGGUUCGGUAAGUCGGAUGUGAAAUCUCCAGGCUCAACCUGGAGGGGUCAUUCGAUACUGCCGUGACUAGAGUUCGGUAGGGGAGUGUGGAAUUCCUGGUGGAGCGGUGAAAUGCGCAGAUAUCAGGAGGAAUACCAGUGGCGAAGGCGGCCUUCUGGACGGAUACUGACGCUGAGGCGCGAAAGCCAGGGGAGCAAACGGG
rnacentral:rRNA from 1 species